rnacentral:rRNA from 1 species
GUAGGUGGCAAGCGUUGUCCAGAAUUAUUGGGCGUAAAGCGCGCGCAGGCGGUUUUUUAAGUCUGAUGUGAAAGCCCACGGCUCAACCGUGGAGGGUCAUUGGAAACUGGAGAACUUGAGUACAGAAGAGGAAAGCGGAAUUCCACGUGUAGCGGUGAAAUGCGUAGAGAUGUGGAGGAACACCAGUGGCGAAGGCGGCUUUCUGGUCUGUAACUGACGCUGAGGCGCGAAAGCGUGGGGAGCAAACAGGAUUAGAUACCCUGGUAGUCCACGCCGUAAACGAUGAGUGCUAAGUGUUAGGGGGGUUUCCGCCCCCCUUAGUGCUGCAGCUAACGCAUUAAGCACUCCGCCUGGGAGUACGGCCGCAAGGCUG